rnacentral:rRNA from 1 species
GUGAAGCGGCAAAAGCUCAAAUUUGAAAUCUGGCACCUUUGGUGUCCGAGUUGUAAUUUGAAGAAGCAACUUUGGGGCUGGUCCUUGUCUAUGUUCCUUGGAACAGGACGUCAUAGAGGGUGAGAAUCCCGUGUGGCGAGGAUCCCAGUUCUUUGUAAAGUGCUUUCGACGAGUCGAGUUGUUUGGGAAUGCAGCUCUAAGUGGGUGGUAAAUUCCAUCUAAAGCUAAAUAUUGGCGAGAGACCGAUAGCGAACAAGUACAGUGAUGGAAAGAUGAAAAGAACUUUGAAAAGAGAGUGAAAAAGGACGUGAAAUUGUUGAAAGGGAAGGGCAUUUGAUCAGACAUGGUGUUUUGCGACCCUCGCUCCUUGUGGGUGGGGAUCUCGCAGUUCACUGGGCCAGCAUCAGUUUUGGCGGCAGGAUAAAUCUUUGGGAAUGUGACUUUGCUUCGGGAAAGUGUUAUAGCCCAGGGGAAUACUGCCAGCCGGGA